rnacentral:rRNA from 1 species
AUUGAACGCUGGCGGCAUGCCUUACACAUGCAAGUCGAACGGCAGCACGGGAGCAAUCCUGGUGGCGAGUGGCGAACGGGUGAGCAAUAUAUCGGAACGUGCCCAGUCGUGGGGGAUAACGCAGCGAAAGCUGUGCUAAUACCGCAUACGAUCUAAGGAUGAAAGCGGGGGAUCGCAAGACCUCGCGCGAUUGGAGCGGCCGAUAUCAGAUUAGCUAGUUGGUGGGGUAAGGGCCCACCAAGGCGACGAUCUGUAGCUGGUCUGAGAGGACGACCAGCCACACUGGAACUGAGACACGGUCCAGACUCCUGCGGGAGGCAGCAGUGGGGAAUUUUGGACAAUGGGCGCAAGCCUGAUCCAGCAAUGCCGCGUGCAGGAUGAAGGCCUUCGGGUUGUAAACUGCUUUUGUACGGAACGAAACGGCCCUUUCUAAUACAGGGGGCUAAUGACGGUACCGUAAGAAUAAGCACCGGCUAACUACGUGCCAGCCGCCGCAGUAA